rnacentral:tRNA from 1 species
UAGUUUAAUUGGUAAAGCACUCGUCUAGCAUAUAAGAGUCGUGGGUUCGAAUCCCAC